rnacentral:rRNA from 1 species
CAAUAGCGUAUAUUAAAGUUGUUGCAGUUAAAAAGCUCGUAGUUGGAUUUCUGGGCCUCGGCAAUGGUUCGCCGCAAGGUGUAUACUGUUGCUGGAGCCCAUCCUCCCAAAGACAUAGCGUGCUCUUAACCGGGUGCGUGGUGGACUUGGGACUUUUACUUUGAAAAAAUUAGAGUGUUCAAAGCAGGCUUACGCUUGAAUACUUCAGCAUGGAAUAAUGGAAUAGGACUUUGGUCUUAUUUUGUUGGUUUCUGAGACCGAAGUAAUGAUUAAUAGGGACAGUUGGGGGCAUUAGUAUUUAAUUGUCAGAGGUGAAAUUCUUGGAUUUAUGAAAGACUAACUUCUGCGAAAGCAUUUGCCAAGGAUGUUUUCAUUAA